rnacentral:rRNA from 1 species
AACGCUGGCGGCGUGCCUAAUACAUGCAAGUCGAACGCACUCUCGUUUAGAUUGAAGGAGUUUGCUCCUGAUUGAUAAACAUUUGAGUGAGUGGCGGACGGGUGAGUAACACGUGGGUAACCUGCCCUAAAGUGGGGGAUAACAUUUGGAAACAGAUGCUAAUACCGCAUAAAACCUAACACCGCAUGGCGUAGGGUUGAAAGAUGGUUUCGGCUAUCACUUUAGGAUGGACCCGCGGUGCAUUAGUUAGUUGGUGAGGUAAAGGCUCACCAAGACCGUGAUGCAUAGCCGACCUGAGAGGGUAAUCGGCCACACUGGGACUGAGACACGGCCCAGACUCCUACGGGAGGCAGCAGUAGGGAAUCUUCCACAAUGGACGAAAGUCUGAUGGAGCAACGCCGCGUGAGUGAAGAAGGUUUUCGGAUCGUAAAACUCUGUUGUUGGAGAAGAAUGUAUCUGAUAGUAACUGAUCAGGUAGUGACGGUAUCCAACCAGAAAGCCACGGCUAACUACGUG